rnacentral:rRNA from 1 species
AGUAAAAUUUUAUUAUAAAUAUAUUUUAAAAUUAUUUUUAAUUAAAAUAUUAUAAAUUUAUUUUUAUUUAAGUAUAUUUAAGAAAAAAAUUUAUAUAAUGAUAGUUUAUUAGUAAUGAAAAUGAAUUAAUAAAAUUAAAUUAAAGAAUUUUUUAUUAAAAGUACCUUUUGUAUCAGGGUUUAUUUAAUAAAUAGUUAAAAUUUAAUUAUUCUCGAAUUUAAAAGAUUUAUUUUAUUAUUUUUUAUAUUGUGGUAUAAAUAUUUAUUAUAAUAAAUUGGUAAUGAAAUGUUAAACGUUUUUAAAUAUAUCUAGUUUUUUUAGAAAAAAAUUUAAUUUUAUUAUGAAUUAUUAUUUAAAUUAAUAGUUAAAUUUAAAUAUUUAUUUAUAAUAAAAUUUUUAGGGAUAAGCUUAAAAAUUAUUUUAUAUUUUUAAUUAAAAAUUAAAUAAAUUUAUGAUUAGAAGUUUCAAUAAUAUAAAUAAUUUUAUAAUUUAUAAAAAUGAAUAUUGAUUUUAAUUUAAAAUUAAUUUAUUUAUAAAAAUAUUUAAUUUAAUUAAAGUUUUAAAUUAAUAAUGAUAAAAUUAGUAUAUUUUUAUAAUUAAAUUUUUAAUUUAUAAAAAUUUAAAAUAAGGAAUUCGGCAAAAUAAUUGCUCGCCUGUUUAUCAAAAACAUGGUUUUUUGUUUAUAAUUUAAAAUUUAAUCUGCCCACUGAUUAAUUAAAGGGCCGCAGUAUAUUGACUGUGCAAAGGUAGCAUAAUCAUUUGUUUCUUAAUUGUUGACUUGUAUGAAUGAUUGGACGAGGUAAUUACUGUCUCAUUUUUAUAAAAAAUAAAAUUUUAUUUUUAAGUUAAAAAGCUUAAAUAAAAUUUAAGGACGAGAAGACCCUAUAGAGUUUAACUAAUUUAAUAAAAAUUUUUAUUUUUGAAUUUUAAUUAUUUUUAUAAAAGUUAGUUUAAUUGGGGUGAUUAAAAAAUUUAAUAAACUUUUUAAAAUAUUAUUCAAAAAAUUUUGUUUAAAUUUGAUCCAGAAUUUUUGAUUAUUUGAUUAAAUUACCUUAGGGAUAACAGCGUUAUUAUUUUGGAAAGUUCAUAUUUAUAAAAUAGUUUGCGACCUCGAUGUUGAAUUAAGAUAAAUUUUUAGUGCAGUAAUUAAAAUUUUUAGUCUGUUCGACUAUUAAAUUCUUACAUGAUUUGAGUUCAAACCGGUGUGAGCCAGGUUGGUUUCUAUCCUAAAUUAUAUAAAAUAUUUUAGUACGAAAGGACCAUAUAUUUAAUUAAAAAUUUAAUUAAGAAUUACUUUGGCAGAAUAGUGUAAUGAAUUUAGAAUUCAUAAAUGUAUUUAUUAUACAGG